UAUUGCCAGAAAUCCUCGUACAAUCAGGCGAUAGAAAUAGAGAAUGAGAGAAAUAGUGUAGUCUGCCUCUGAAGCCCCGCGGGAGAUGCCAACAAUCGCUGCAAAGCAAGAUACAAUUUUAAUGUUUCCUACUUUGGCAAAUAACCAUAGCUGGACACAAUAGCGAAGGGAAAGAUGUCACAAUAACCAGCAAAUCAUUAUGUGGUGUUUAUACAAGUAUAGUGUCUCAUUAAAAAGAGAUUUUGUAAGAGAUAGUUAACAUAAACAUUUGUACACACCUGCUCCUUUGACAGACACCGCCUGCUACGAAUGGGCCAUGGGGCGGCAGUUGUCUACUAGUCGUGGUGACGGUAAGGGUGGUGGUGCUGGCAGUGGUUAUACUGUCCCAUACACACCCACACCCACACACACACACACACACACACACACUGCCAUGAACACUCAAAAGACAAUCACACACACACACGCGAUGUGUUGCUAUAUCACCGAUAGAUUUCAAGCAGUGCCAAUCACCUAUCACCAUGCGGCAAGACAAGCAGUGCCUUCACCACAAUCUCAACACUGCCUUAUCUUCAUCAAUUAAAGGCUCAGACGUGAAGACGGAAGUAAUAGAAGAAAGAAGAAGGAGAAAUAAAGGAGGAGGACGAAGAAUAAACGAGAAAUAGAGGCGGAAUAGGAGAAGGAGCUAAGAUGUUUGUCGGGUUCCUGAAGAUGCGUCGACGUGUUAUCAUCCACGCAAGCUUCCCCAACCCAGCCAGUGUACCACAGGACGGGAGGAGGAAGCCAGCGGCUGCAUGCACCAUUGAACAGGACGGCAUUGUAUUCCUCCCACAGGAGUGACUACAGCGAAGCAAGCCCAGAAUAAAGUGUUGAGUGACCGUGAUGAUUCAGUACUACUAACACCAAACAAGUGAGGGAAGUGUUCGGAGUGAACGUGCAAGACAUACAACAGACACCAGACUGCUGCCGCUGCUGCUACUGCCGGUGUAGCCAAAGGAACAAAAGGUCCGGAGCAGGAGGAAGAAAUGGGUGAUUCUUGGAAACGCACCAAUGAAGUUGUGAAGAUGUCUCGGGUGUGUCGCCUAGUGCGUUCCCUUGUCCCGCUCGAGAGAGAGAGAGAGAGAGAGAGAGCGAGACUCGGAUCACCACCGCGUCGAGCUGCCUGCCCACCUCCCUCCAUUGUCCUUCCCCUCUCACUUGAGUAUUGUGAACGUUGUAUUUAUUUUCAUCACGCCUCUGUGUUUGUAAAGGGAGAGUGUUCCAAUAAGUGAGCUCUGUUUGCAGUCACAUGUGUAUUUCAAAGGUGUUUUGCCAAGUGCUGUGCUGAGGUGUUGUGGUGUAUCUGUCUGUACGGUGUUCGAGCUAGCUUUCGCCCACUUUUGUGACGCUACCUUCCGUAC